CAAGGAUGUUGCCAGGACUGGAGGGCUCGAGUUAUAAGGAGAAUCUGGAUAGCUGCGUGUUCUGCACUGCCUGACAGAUCUGACGCAUUCCAGGUGUGUCCAGUACCAUGGCUACGAGACUAAGAUAAAGGCUUAAGAGUAGGAGUACAAAAAGAUUUUAUGCCAUUAUCACAAUGAAGAGAAAGGGAGCUUCCCUGGAGCCCACCGUGUAAACAGUAGGAACUUGCCGUGUGCAGAUUGGCUGCUAAAGUUCCCUACAAGGGUGACUACACUUCACAAGACAUGAAUUAUCUGAAAAGCACUUGGAAACCAUGCUGAAGAUAAGAGUGCUUGUUCUGAGAGUCUGAGUCAAGCAUGCGGAUGAUGUAGCCUGUUCACCAUAGCUCGUUUAAGCACGAUCAGAACAUCGAUGCUGGGGACAUUGGCCUGGACGAAGACAUUGACAUUACCUUGCCUGUCUUGACAUGGAUUUGUUGGAUUUGUGGAGGCACAAAGGUGGCAAGUCUCCAGUGCUCUGAGUGACUGCUGCUUAUAUGAUGCCAUGUGCCUGUGAUGCUGCUGCAAAUGCGAUUCAACAUGACAGAAAACUUCAGGAAAGGAACUUACAACAGGUUAAAUUCACUGAGAUCAGCAUGAACCAGUCGGGCGUCCUUGUACAUUCUUCGCAUAUAUUGAAUAAUAAUAAGAUAAAGCUCCCUGGCCUUGGAUUCAGA